GGAAUUGCAAAUAGGCUUCUGGUGGUAUUACUUCUUGGUAGGUUAUAUUAGUAAUGUUAGACCAUGAAUUAGUUCAAAUCUUGCAUUAAACUAAUUUUUCUUAAUGAUACCUUUUCAUCGUUCUAUUAUAAUGAUCACCAUUUAAUAUUUUUGAUGGCUCAUCACAUCAUCGAUAGCAAAUUGUAUAAGAACAAACUUGAUGUGCUAGAAUCAUAUUAAUAAAAAAUAUUGUGUGUUUGAGAGAAGGAGGGAGGAGGAAGGAGAGACACCGAGUGAGAGUGCUCAUUGAGUGCACAAACGCAUCUCGCUCCAUCAAAAUUUCAGAUGUACCAUUUAUAUGGUUGCAAGAAGGUUUGCUUAAGUAAUUUUCCUCUCUUUUGAAAAUUGAUUUCUUAUUUGUUCGUUUCAAUAGAAAAUUUAGAAAUUU
rnacentral:lncRNA from 1 species